UACGUAGGGAGCAAGCGUUGUCCGGAUUCAUUGGGCGUAAAGCGUGCGUAGGCGGCCUCGUAAGUCCGUUGUGAAAGUCAAAGGCUCAACCUUUGAAAGCCGAUGGAUACUGUGAGGCUAGAGCCCGGAAGAGGCGAGUGGAAUUCCUGGUGUAGCGGUGGAAUGCGCAGAUAUCAGGAGGAACACCAAUAGCGAAGGCAGCUCGCUGGGACGGUACUGACGCUAAGGCGCGAAAGCGAGGGGAGCGAACGGG
rnacentral:rRNA from 1 species